GUGUGAAAGCCCUAGGCUCAACCUAGGAAUUGCACUUAAAACUGGUUAUCUGGAGUAUUGUAGAGGAAGGUAGAAUUCCACGUGUAGCGGUGAAAUGCGUAGAGAUGUGGAGGAAUACCGGUGGCGAAGGCGGCCUUCUGGACAGAUACUGACGCUGAGAUGCGAAAGCGUGGGGAGCAAACAGGAUUAGAUACCCUGGUAGUCCACGCUGUAAACGAUGUCGAUUUGGAGUUUGCUGCCAUGAGUGGUGGGCUCCGAAGCUAACGCGAUAAAUCGACCGCCUGGGGAGUACGGCCGCAAGGUUAAAACUCAAAUGAAUUGACGGGGGCCCGCACAAGCGGUGGAGCAUGUGGUUUAAUUCGAUGCAACGCGAAGAACCUUACCUGGUCUUGACAUCCAUAGAAUCCUGUAGAGAUAUGGGAGUGCCUUCGGGAGCUAUGAGACAGGUGCUGCAUGGCUGUCGUCAGCUCGUGUUGUGAAAUGUUGGGUUAAGUCCCGCAACGAGCGCAACCCUUAUCCUUUGUUGCCAGCACGUAAUGGUGGGAACUCAAAGGAGACUGCCGUUGAUAAAGCGGAGGAAGGUGGGGACGACGUCAAGUCAUCAUGGCCCUUACGACCAGGGCUACACACGUGCUACAAUGGCGUAUACAAAGGGAGGCGACCUCGCAAGAGCAAGCGGACCUCACAAAGUACGUCUAAGUCCGGAUUGGAGUCUGCAACUCGACUCCAUGAAGUCGGAAUCGCUAGUAAUCGUGAAUCAGAAUGUCACGGUGAAUACGUUCCCGGGCCUUGUACACACCGCCCGUCACACCAUGGGAGUGGGUU
rnacentral:rRNA from 1 species